AUUGAACGCUGGCGGCAUGCCUUACACAUGCAAGUCGAACGGUAACAGGUCUUCGGAUGCCGACGAGUGGCGAACGGGUGAGUAAUACAUCGGAACGUGCCCGAGAGUGGGGGAUAACGAGGCGAAAGCUUUGCUAAUACCGCAUACGAUCUCAGGAUGAAAGCAGGGGACCGCAAGGCCUUGCGCUCACGGAGCGGCCGAUGGCAGAGUAGGUAGGUGGUGGGAUAAAAGCUUACCAAGCCGACGAUCUGUAGCUGGUCUGAGAGGACGACCAGCCACACGGGGACUGAGACACGGCCCAGACUCCUACGGGAGGCAGCAGUGGGGAAUUUUGGACAAUGGGCGCAAGCCUGAUCCAGCCAUGCCGCGUGCAGGAUGAAGGCCUUCGGGUUGUAAACUGCUUUUGUACGGAACGAAAAGACUCUGGUUAAUACCUGGGGUCCAUGACGGUACCGUAAGAAUAAGCACCGGCUAACUACGUGCCAGCCGCCGCGGUAAAAC
rnacentral:rRNA from 1 species